CUAUCAUAAAAAAAGAAAUUAUAAUUAUGAUGAAACCGUACUUUCAUUUAAACAAGCGUAGAAAAAUAGAAAUAUCAUGAAAAGAUGGAAGAGAAAUAAUAUUCGAUAUAUGUCAAAAAUGAUCGGGGCAGGUAGCCAGAGGUUAUUAAACGAAAUCUCUUGCUUGGCGCGUCUUUGUUUCUUCACCUACCGGUGAAACUAGUUUUCUCGCAGAGACCGUUUACCGUAACUGCAUCACAAACUAAAAAAAACGGCAAACGCACAAAUGUCACACAACGAACGUAUGCGCGUAGUUGAGACGAAAUACACGAUGAUUCCCACAACGAUCUUCGAGCAAAACUAACUAAAACUCAUUCGUCGAAAUCACUGGGAUAUCUCACUUUCUCGCGAACGGCACCCGUGGUGUUCAGUCACGCGUCACGCGGGUAAACAAACCAAAGUUGAAGUUAGGUACGAUUACGGAUGGAUAUACAGCGGGAAAUCGGCACAUUUAGGCCGAUUUAUAUUAUCUCGAAGCGAAAUCGACAAUCUACGGAGUGGUAUUGGCAACGGGCGAUCUAAAUCGACCACGUGAAUCGAUCGGCGCGUGCAGACGACGAUCACAGCUGGCAUGGAUCAUGCUUCGUUUUCCUUCGACGCGAACAGAUCCCAAGUUCCGAUUUUGACCAACCGUGGCGCCACUGUCGUUCAGCCACGUAUCCAAGAAGGAAAGAAAUCGCGGCCAGUUACUCACUCGUUCCUCUUUCGCGAAGGUGAAAGGGGAAGGGACCCAAGGUCCCCACCAUCUUUGUGUGCCCGUCUUCUUUUGAUUCCUUGAUAAAUAAAUAAAAAAAAGAAAAAUCUACUCUAGGAAAUUUGCAUCGAAUUUUAAUAAGAUUACAUUUUACCGAAGAUUUAAUAAGAUUUAUUUUUUUCGAUUUUGAUUUUUUCGUUGUUGAUUUUUUUUUUUUAUAUAUAAAUACGUUUCGUGCACGAAGAAACGAAGCUGCCAACUUUGCUGUUGGUCGAUCGGCUCAGUGCACACUUUGAGGAAGACAAAAAAGAAGAUUUGUCGACGGUAAAAAAGUAGAUUGAAAGUUGGGAGGGGGAGGGGGGGAGGAAUAUACGCCUGUUCUUGCGAAAGAUCUCGUUGGAUGGAGAUGAUGGAACGGAAUCUUGGACGGUUCGUUGACUCUGGACGCAUAUUAAAUUUCCACUUGCAACGUGUAAAAAUAUGAAUAAAAAGUAAUAUUACCAUCUAUAUAUAUAUUUUAAAGUAUAUAAAAUUGUUAUUGUAAAAAUGACAUUAUGGAUAAUAAGAGAAAGCCAACUCUUCUCUGUGCUUAUAUAAUUACUUUUUUCAUUAGUUUUGGAUUUUAUAGAAACUAGACAGCAAAAAUUGACAAUUGGAAUAUUCAUUAUUAAAUAAUUUUUAUAUUUUAAAAAAUAAUAAUAGGAAGAAAUAUUUCCCUUAAUAAUUUAAUAAAUCAUCGUUUCUCAACGAUCACUUUUUCACCAAGAUUUUCGUGCAAAAUCUCUCGACUCUAAACUCCUACAUCUCUUAUUAAAUUCUAUGUUAAACCUAAAAUUAGAUGUUAUACGAAGCAAUUGCGUGCACGAAAUUAGAGUACGAUAUUACGAAUCAAAUUUUCCAAAAAUCGCUGGUUAACAAUUAAAUAAUUAUAAAUCUUCCACAUCGAAUAACACGAUGAAUGGACACGCAACACACUAGUUAACAAUAUACUAAAUAAUUGUAAAUACAAUUCUAUUUAAAGAUCACGGAGUGUGCCGGUUAUCAAAAUAGCGGAAAAGGUAAAUGAGAAGCGUGAUAAAUGGUGGGUAAGCGUAUUUUAUAUAAUAAAUAUAUCGGGAACACGGGAUAAAGUUGAUAGAACGGAAUCUAUGUGGAACCGGUUCAUCCGCUUCUUUCGGUUCGAUGAAGUUCUAAAUACGGCCCUCCCUCGGUAACAGGAACCUCAAGGUUAACUGCUGCCUGUCGUAACAAUCCACGGGUGAAAUGACGGAUCGUUUGAAAAUAGUUGAAAAAUUCUUUCGCCGUUCUGCAAUCCUGUAAUUAUUUCGCUGCUGAUAUCGACUCACGACGACCCGAACGAAACGAGCUUUCCAUCCCCGUAUUAACGUGACUUAUUCAAGUGGGUCACAAAAGAAAACUCGUGAGACGUCGUAUUUUUUUCUCCAUCGUGAAUGGACGAAGAUACAAUUAAUUUUAUGCUCUAUAUAUG